AAUCAGCAAGGGGGGGAAGCCAUAGUUAGGGUUUUCAAGCUUCCAAGCUCCAUAAUCAAGAAGUACGAAACUCGAGGUUAGACAAAGGGAAGAAUAAAGUUGAAGACUAAGUUGGUGAAUUUGGCUAUAAUUGGUACCGAGGUAAGUUUACGGUAAAUAAAUGCAAUAUUUCAAUAUUUAUUAUUAAUGCUGUUAAUUUCCAGCAAUUAUGAAUUUAUUUUAUGAAUUUAUUUGAUGAUGAUCCAAGCAUGAAAUGAUAGAGAAUUAAAAUUUAAAAGUCCCGUUGAUACAUAAGGAUGGUACUGGAUACGAAUGUCAUGACAUUUGGGUAAAGAGAUCCCAUGUAAGACCAUGUCUGGGACAUGGCAUUGGCAUCCUUAAGAUCAUGAGAGGUCCCCUGUAAGACCAUGUCUGGGACAUGGCAUGGGCACCGAGACGAGAGGUCCCAUGUAAGACCAUGUCUGGGACAUGGCGUUGGCACCGAGAUGAGAGGUCCCCUAUAAGACCAUGUCUGGGACAUGGCAUGGGCACCAUCACGAGAACAUCCCAUGUAAGACCAUGUCUGGGACAUGGCUUUGGCAUGUUAUUAUCAGAAGAGACCCGAGUAUCCUUAUUAUUCCAAUGUAGCUCAACGGGCUUGUAAACGAAUCAUGUUCAUGAAAGUUCAGUUUAAAGCAUAAAUGGCAAGCUCAGGUAAGUUGUAAGACUUAAGAACUUAUUAUACUAUCAAUUGAUGUUCAACGAUGCAGCAAGGAUUGAGUAAGUUAUGCACACAAGUAUUCUAAGUAAACAAGUAAGAGAACUAGUAUGAGAUUAACUAAAGAGUAAACUAGAGAUAUAGACAUUGAGUUUAAUUAUUUAAGUUAAAUAUUGUUAUUUAUUUGCUAGUAAACUUACUAAGCUUUAUGCUUACUUCUUUUAUUUCUCUUUCUCUUAUAGUAUUGCAAAGCUACUUCAAGGAUCCUAAAGAAGUCGGAGAUCGUCCACACUAUCAACUACAACUGCUCGGUAUUUUAUAUCGAAACACGUUUGAGUUAUGGCAUGUAUAGGGAUUUAGUUAUUUUGUAUGUUUGUAAUGAUGAUUUUGCUAAUGAGUG
rnacentral:lncRNA from 1 species